ensembl:snoRNA small nucleolar RNA U3
AAGACUAUACUUUCAGGGAUCAUUUCUAUAGUUUUUGACUAGAGAAAUGUUUGCUAAAGAAUUGGUCUCGCUAGCCACGAUGAAGAGUUGGUGAUACUCCUUCUUGAGCGCGAAGCGGGCAGAGAGAGAUGAUUUAGUUCAUGUGCUUUCUGCUUUUGAUGACCGUUCACUGUUUUCUCUGGAGACUUUGAGGGAAGGAGUAUGAUCAGAGUGGUA